CCUACGGGAUGCAGCAGUGGGGAAUAUUGGGCAAUGGGCGCAAGCCUGACCCAGCAACGCCGCGUGAAGGAAGAAGGCUUUCGGGUUGUAAACUUCUUUUGUCAGGGAAGAGUAGAAGACGGUACCUGACGAAUAAGCCACGGCUAACUACGUGCCAGCAGCAGCGGUAAUACGUGGGUGGCAAGCGUUGUCCGGAUUUACUGGGUGUAAAGGGCGUGUAGCCGGGUUGACAAGUCAGAUGGGAAAUCCUGCGGCUUAACCGCAGAACUGCAGUUGAAACUGUUGAUCUUGAGUACUGGAGAGGCAGAUGGAAUUCCUAGUGUAGCGGUGAAAUGCGUAGAUAUUAGGAGGAACACCAGUGGCGAAGGCGGUCUGCUGGACAGCAACUGACGGUGAGGCGCGAAAGCGUGGGGAGCAAACAGGAUUAGAUACCCGAGUAGUC
rnacentral:rRNA from 1 species